AUCAUUACAGAGUUACUACUCCAAACCCAUUGUGAACCUUACCUAUGUUCUGUUGCCUCGGCGGCGUCGGUCAGCGCCCCUCUGAAAAGAGGACGAUGCCCCUCCCGCCGGCAGCACCAAACUCUUGAAUUUUACAGCGGAUUACAGUUCUGAUUUGAAAACAAAAAACAAGUUAAAACUUUCAACAACGGAUCUCUUGGUUCUGGCAUCGAUGAAGAACGCAGCGAAAUGCGAUAAGUAAUGUGAAUUGCAGAAUUCAGUGAAUCAUCGAAUCUUUGAACGCACAUUGCGCCCGGCAGUAAUCUGCCGGGCAUGCCUGUCCGAGCGUCAUUUCAACCCUCGAACCUCCGUUUCCUUAGGGAAGCCUAGGGUCGGUGUUGGGGCGCUACGGCGAGUCCUCGCGACCCCCGUAGGCCCUGAAAUACAGUGGCGGUCCCGCCGCGGUUGCCUUCUGCGUAGUAAGUCUCUUUUGCAAGCUCGCAUUGGGUCCCGGCGGAGGCCUGCCGUCAAACCACCUAACAACUCCAGAGGU
rnacentral:rRNA from 1 species